ACCUAAUAGAUACCCGGGUAGUCCACGCCCUAAACGAUGCGAACUGGAUGUUGGGUACAUUACGGUACUCAGUGUCGAAAGCUAAACGCGUUAAGUUCGCCGCCUGGGGAGUACGGUCGCAAGACUGAAACUCAAAGGAAUUGACGGGGGCCCGCACAAGCGGUGGAGUAUGUGGUUUAAUUCGAUGCAACGCGAAGAACCUUACCUGGCCUUGACAUCUGUCGAAUCCUGCAGAGAUGCGGGAGUGCCGCAAGGAACGACAAGACAGGUGCUGCAUGGCUGUCGUCAGCUCGUGUCGUGAGAUGUUGGGUUAAGUCCCGCAACGAGCGCAACCCGUUGUCCCUAGUUGCCAGCACAUCAUGGUGGGAACUCUAGGGAGACUGCCGGUGACAAACCGGAGGAAGGUGGGGUAUGACGUCAAGUCCUCAUGGCCCGUUAC
rnacentral:rRNA from 1 species